rnacentral:lncRNA from 1 species
GGGAUAGUUCAUUUGAUUCUUGCAAUGAGGAGGGGACAAAUUACUGCAGGGAGCAGUGACUGAGAGCAUGGAAAUGAUGAUCAACCACUCUGGGGCAUGUGUGGUCUCUCUCUGCUCCUUCAUCUCAUGGAAACAUGUUUCUACGUGCAUGGCUACUUGUCCAGAAAUACUCUGUCCCGGAUCCCCAUCUCCAGCUGUGUCCGUUUGCAGUCAGACCAGCGGCUGCCUCCUCCUUCCUCCCCAGCCCAGCAGCACGGCAGGGACACGGCUCUGGGCCCAGGGACCACUGCGGGCAUCACUGGGCCAGCACAAGGGGUGGAGAUGGCCAAAGACAAGAGAAGAAAGGGGGAAGCUGGGAAGCAGAUUAUCUGUGUAUUGACAGAACUGUUUAUUUGCUCCUGGCAAAAAUAAACCCUGGCGUAUAUUCCCUCUAGCGUUUUCAUAUUUAUAAAAAUUGAAAGCCUAAUCUGUCGCCAAGACCCAUUAUCCUCUGACUUCAGUCAGACAGUAUAUCUUAUGGAAUUAGGGAAUGUAAUAUUUUUUAUGAGGACAGAAGGGAAAAGAGAUGUUUACUAUUGUACCCUUCCUCUAUUUAUUAGUGUCUGUAACUACCACCAACAUCCAAAUGAGGUAUCUUGUGUCUUAGCCCCAGUGGGACUAGACAAAUAAAUAAGUCAAUAACAUCUAUCGGAAAAUAAUU